CCUACGGGAGGCAGCAGUGGGGAAUAUUGCACAAUGGGGGAAACCCUGAUGCAGCGACGCCGCGUGAGUGAAGAAGUAUCUCGGUACGUAAAGCUCUAUCAGCAGGGAAGAAAAUGACGGUACCUGACUAAGAAGCCCCGGCUAACUACGUGCCAGCAGCCGCGGUAAUACGUAGGGGGCAAGCGUUAUCCGGAUUUACUGGGUGUAAAGGGAGCGUAGACGGCGGAACAAGUCAGAAGUGAAAACCCGGGGCUCAACCCUGGGAGUGCUUUUGAAACUGUUUGGCUGGAGUGCAGGAGAGGUAAGCGGAAUUCCUAGUGUAGCGGUGAAAUGCGUAGAUAUUAGGAGGAACACCAGUGGCGAAGGCGGCUUACUGGACUGUAACUGACGUUGAGGCUCGAAAGCGUGGGGAGCAAACAGGAUUAGAUACCCGUGUAGUC
rnacentral:rRNA from 1 species